rnacentral:rRNA from 1 species
AUUGAACGCUGGCGGCAGGACUAACACAUGCAAGUCGAACGAGUGGCGGACGGGUGAGUAAUGUCUGGGAAACUGCCUGAUGGAGGGGGCUAACUACUGGAAACGGUAGCUAAUACCGCAUACCAUCAGAUGUGCCCAGAUGGGAUUAGCUUGUUGGUGGGGUAACGGGUGACCAAGGCGACGAUCCCUAGCUGGUCUGAGAGGAUGACCAGCCAGACUGUAACUGGGACACGGUCCAGCCUCCUACAGGAGGCAGCAGUGGGGAAUAGUGCACGAUGUGCGCAAGCCUGACGCAGCCAGGCCGCGUGUAUGAAGAAGGCCUUCGGGUUGUAAAGUACUUUCAGCGGGGAGGCGUUACCCGCAGAAGAGGCACCGGCUAACUCCGUGCCAGCAGCCGCGGUAAUUC